UGAGUAACGCGUAUCCAACCUUCCCCUUAGUAGGGCAUAGCCCGGCGAAAGUCGGAUUAAGUACCCGUAUGUUGUAUGACGAUGACAUCAGAAUUAUACCAAAGAUUAAUCGCUAAGGGAUGGGGAUGCGUCUGAUUAGGUUGUUGGCGGGGUAACGGCCCACCAAGCCUACGAUCAGUAGGGUUCUGAGAGGAAGGUCCCCCACACUGGUACUGAGACACGGACCAGACUCCUACGGGAGGCAGCAGUGAGGAAUAUUGGUCAAUGGACGAGAGUCUGAACCAGCCAAGUAGCGUGCAGGAAGACGGCCCUAUGGGUUGUAAACUGCUUUUAUCAGGGGAUAAAGUGGGAAACGUGUUUUCCAUUGCAGGUACCUGAUGAAUAAGGACCGGCUAAUUCCGUGCCAGCCGCUGC
rnacentral:rRNA from 1 species